AAUGAACGUUGGCGGCGUGGAUUAGGCAUGCAAGUCGAGCGAGAACCCAGCAAUGGGGGACAGCGGCGCAAGGGACAGUAAUGUGUAGAUCAUCUGCCCUCAGGCCCGGGAUAGCUGCGGGAAACUGCAGGUAAUACCGGAUAACAUCUCCGGAUCAAAGGUGUGAUUCCGCCUGAGGAUGAGUCUACAUCCUAUUAGCUAGUUGGCAGGGUAACGGCCUACCAAGGCGAUGAUGGGUAGCGGGUGUGAGAGCACGACCCGCGUCAUUGGGACUGAGACACUGCCCAGACACCUACGGGUGGCUGCAGUCGAGAAUCUUCGGCAAUGGGCGCAAGCCUGACCGAGCGACGCCGCGUGCGGGAUGAAGGCCUUCGGGUUGUAAACCGCUGUCAGAGGGGAUGAAAUGCAGGUGGGUUCUCCCAUCUGUUUGACAUAGCCUCAGAGGAAGGACGGGCUAAGUUCGUGCCAGCCGCCGCAGUAAAAC
rnacentral:rRNA from 1 species